GAUUCAACAAAGCUUGCCAACAAAUUAACUUACUUCUUUCAAAGUUGCACAGAAAAGUCUACUUGUAACUAGCAAAGACCACCUUGGCAAUUACCUUCAGGUUUCUCACAGAUGCCAACUUCUAUUUCUGCAUCCUUAAUAAAUGCUGAUGGUCUAAUUUUAUCAAGCAUUUUAAAGUUUGAGACUUCAGGGAGAAAAAGUCUUUUCUUGCAAAUAUGCCAGGUCUUCAAGAGUUCAUGCCCUCGACAUAGACAAACUGUAACUAUUUUCACAGAUCGUAAUAGUUUAUUCAUUUGAUGAGCUGAUUGUCAUGUAGUGCUGGAAAAAACUGUGCAAACCUUUUCUAACCCUCAACAGGUUUAUAAUCUAAGCAGAUGCGAGCAACCAUCAUUUCCCCAAAGAUACUAGUACUGUUGUAACCUUACAUUACGUGGACUUAGAGCACCAAGAAUUAAAGACAUCUAGAUAAGCAGCAAACAAACAAGGCUCUGCAAACUCUUGUAAAUAAAUUGGGUGGAUAUAAACUCCAUAGGCUUCUGUAUUCCUACGAUUUUGUCAUCAAAAGUCCUUGACCUUUUGGCUAAGUUAUCUCUGCUCUGGCUGGCCAAACCUAAAUUCUAGUUCGGUAUCCUAAAUGCAGUAGGCAUCGUUUUGGAAAAUGCAUCAACUUAAAUGUUGCUAAAACUUGCAGCUCAUCUGCGGUGCUAUGAGACCAAGGAUUCCCACAUGCACCUCCGGAUCAGGAGCCCUAAAAGUGAUGAUAACGCGGCUGCUUGCACAACAACCUUCUCUCCCAUGCAGUCGCGAGCCUGCUGCAAGGGGACCAUUUUCGGAGCCGUGCCUCAAAGCCUCGGUAGCCUUUGCAUUUUUUAGAAGUGACUCAUCGCCUCAAGUCAGGUUUCUGCGGGGACGCCAGAUGGGUUUCUUUCCAGCACCGUCUGACCACGGUGGCCUCGAUCACAUCGGUCUCAGUGACAGCCACCACUGCAUCUCGGCAGAGCUCAGAGCGCAGCGGACAAGACCCCUCAAACAGGCAGUAAUGCAAAGAGGUCUGGAAGGAUCUGGAGGCUCCUGA
ensembl:lincRNA